rnacentral:rRNA from 1 species
CCUACGGGAGGCAGCAGUAGGGAAUAUUGGGCAAUGGAGGCAACUCUGACCCAGCCAUGCCGCGUGCAGGAUGAAGGCGUUAUGCGUUGUAAACUGCUUUUAUAUAGGAAGAAAGAGUUCUUGCGAGAACAGUUGACGGUACUAUAUGAAUAAGCACCGGCUAACUCCGUGCCAGCAGCCGCGGUAAUACGGAGGGUGCAAGCGUUGUCCGGAUUUAUUGGGUUUAAAGGGUGCGUAGGCGGUUUAUUAAGUCAGUGGUGAAAGACGGUCGCUCAACGAUUGCAGUGCCAUUGAUACUGGUAGACUUGAGUGAGAUUGAGGUAGCUGGAAUGGAUAGUGUAGCGGUGAAAUGCAUAGAUAUUAUCCAGAACACCAAUUGCGUAGGCAAGUUACUAAGUCUCAACUGACGCUGAGGCACGAAAGUGUGGGUAUCAAACAGGAUUAGAUACCCUGGUAGUCCACACUGUAAACGAUGAUAACUAACUGUUGGCUUUCGGGUCAGUGGUACAGAGAAAUCGUUAAGUUAUCCACCUGGGGAGUACGCCGGCAACGGUGAAACGUCAAAGGAAUUGACGGCNGAGAGAGCGAGACGACGACGAGGGAGGAGG